CCCUUUAGCUCAGUUGGUAGAGCAUGGUGUUUGCAACGCCAGGGUUGUGGGUUUGAUUCCCACGGGGG
rnacentral:tRNA from 1 species